CCAUGUCUAAGAGUCAAGGCGCUUAGCCAGUGGACCUCAGGUUUGCAGUGUAGCCCUUGAGGUUCUUCUCAGUGUCUUUCCAGAUGCAUCUCUCUACUUUCUUCCAUGUAUUUUGUGCUCUUCCUGCCAGGUUCCUCGGAAACAACCCAGAUGCCCUGUGCCUGAUGUUUGAGCUCACAUUCGAAUCUCCAAGUAGAAUGAUUUUCUCCCUUUUCUGUUUCUCAUGACCUCCUUUCUUCACUUCUUCUGCAAAUCCUUCCUUAUUUCAUUUAUCACUUUCAUAUGUCAAUUUUUAUAUAUCAUAUUGUAUCAUAAUCAUAUCUGUGUUUGAAGGAGGAAUUUGUUUUCUUGCAUAUGGUUGGUACUCUAUAACUGUUUUGUGAAUCAAUCAAUGCUUUAAGAUGGGUAAGAGUUGGAAUUUUAUAAGAAUUGUUUUUUUUUUUAAUUCUUUAUCAGUUGAAUUAUUAGAAAACAUUGGCUUUUUUGUGGACUUUUUAAAGUAGCGAUCCUGGUGUGCACAGGAAGGAAGUAAAGAAAAAAGAACGAUGGCAAAUGGACACCAGAAGAAAGUGUGAUUGCACCAAUAUUUUAAAAGACCAAUUCACUGACUGGUGGUCUGCUGCACGUGAAUGAUGACAGCAUUUAAAGGGAAGUGGAUCAGGGUGAUAACAGAUUCUGUUAGCUUGUUGAAAAUUCAGGAUAAAAUUCUUUUGCAUGAAAGAUUAGUAGAUUUUCAAAGAAGCCAAAGAAGCCACUGUGAAUUACUUAGAGGAUAAUUUUACAGAAUGAAAAGUAAGGUUCGUGGGCUAAAAAAGAGCUGUCAGAAACCAAAGAAGUGAAAUCACAGUUAGGCCAUCAGAAAGUGGAAUGGGAAUGAGAGCUCAGCAGCUUGAGGUACUGUACACCUUGCUUUUAAAGAAACAUUUGAACUAUUGUUUCCUUUAAUACUGCAGAAAUGUAGAUGUGUUAUAAGGACUAAUUUAUCCUCUAGGAUUUUACAGAGGAGAAAGUGUUACUAGUAUUGUGGAGUGUGAAAUUCUUGGAAAUAAUAUAGUAGGUUCCUAACAGUGAAUGCUUCUAAUAAUGUAUAUUUUUCCAAAUUAUCAUUUUAGUGACCAUACAGAAGUUCAGCAUAAUGGAAAGCCCAUUAAAGAUUUACCAAAUUCACUUUCAGUUGUUUUUCACUUUUCUGUAUUCUAUUUAAUAUUGCAA
rnacentral:lncRNA from 1 species